rnacentral:misc_RNA from 1 species
UUUCUCUGAGGAUCUUUUUUUUUUUUUAUAUAAUGGUAGAAUAUUUGUAAUCUUUAGGUUGGUGCUUACAUAUGAAGUUUUGGAGUGGGAAGGUUUAUUUGUACAGUUCUAUCAAAUCUGCAUUCAUAUUUCAUUUCAUUUUUUAGAACCCAGUGCUUUAUACUUCACUGUUUCAUCAUACAUUAUUCUUUGCCAUUUUGUUGAGAGGUUUGAGAGGUGGACUGCUAGUUAGAAGCAGGAAUUCCUUUUCCUUUGGUUCCUGUGUACUACAAUUACAACCCCUUUUCUGCACCUUAUAUUGGAUUUCAUCUCAGAAAUUCUUGAACACUGUAUGUAGGCAUCUGAGUUUGAUGCUUUCUUACUCAAAUUUGCAUUUUAUAGAUGUGAAUUAGUGUUGCUUUUCAUUGAUGUGUGUUCUAGUUUGUUCUUUGUAGAGGUUAAUGUCUUUUUUGAUGGGUGAAAAAAUAUAUUUCAUGUCAAACAUACAGUGAUUUGGAUAUGUAGAAGCAGUUAACUUUGUACAACUUUAUGAUUUAGAUUAACCUUUCAAUCCAUUUCAUCUAUUUAAAAACUCCCAUUUAUUGUUUCAAGUUCAACUUUCAAGCCUACAUCCAUUUUGUUGCUUAUGGGACUUAUGUAGGUAGUUUGAAGUCUGACCCAGUACUUCUUCCAG